rnacentral:rRNA from 1 species
UUUUUUUUAAAACAUGUUUUUUUAUUUUUUUUGAAAAGUCGGCCCUGCUCAAUGAUGUUUUAAAUAGCCGCAGUAAUUUAACUGUGCUAAGGUAGCAUAAUAAUUAGUCUUUUAAUUGAGGUCUGGAAUGAAUGGGUUGACAAGGAAAUAACUUUAUUAUAUUAAUUUUUUUGAAUUUAAUUUUUUUGUUAAAAAGCUUAAAUGUUUAAAUGGGACGAUAAGACCCUAUAGAUCUUUAUUUUAUUUUUUUUCUAUUAUUUUAUUUAGUUUAUUAUUAGAUUAUUAUUUAAAAUUUAGUUGGGGUGAUUAUUAAAAAUUUAAACUUUAUUUUUUUUUUACUUUUAUUUUUGUGUUUUUUGAUCCUUUAAUAUGGAUUUAAAGAAUAAGAUACCUUAGGGAUAACAGCGUUAUAUAUUUGGAGAGUUCAAAUUGAUAAAUAUGUUUGCGACCUCGAUGUUGGAUUAAAAUUAAUUGUGGGGUAGGUUUUACAAUGUUAGGUCUGUUCGACCUUUAAAAUUUUACAUGAUCUGGUUU